rnacentral:rRNA from 1 species
CUACGGGCCGCACCAGUGGGGAAUAUUGCACAAUGGGCGAAAGCCUGAUGCAGCAACGCCGCGUGAGGGACGACGGCCUUCGGGUUGUAAACCUCUUUUAGCAGGGAAGAAGCGAAAGUGACGGUACCUGCAGAAAAAGCACCGGCUAACUACGUGCCAGCAGCCGCGGUAAUACGGAGGGUGCAAGCGUUGUCCGGAAUUAUUGGGCGUAAAGAGCUCGUAGGCGGUUUGUCGCGUCUGCUGUGAAAAUCCGAGGCUCAACCUCGGACCUGCAGUGGGUACGGGCAAACUAGAGUGCGGUAGGGGAGAUUGGAAUUCCUGGUGCAGCGGUGGAAUGCGCAGAUAUCAGGAGGAACACCAAUGGCGAAGGCAGAUCUCUGGGCCGUAACUGACGCUGAGGAGCGAAAGCGUGGGGAGCGAACAGGAUUAGAUACCCGCGUAGUC